GACAGAGGGUGCAAACGUUGCUCGGAAUUACUGGGCGUAAAGCGCGUGUAGGCGGGCCGGAAAGUCGGGCGUGAAAUCCCUGGGCUCAACCCAGGAACUGCACUCGAAACUUCCGGUCUAGAGUGGUGGAGAGGGAAGUGGAAUUCCUGGUGUAGAGGUGAAAUGCGCAGAUAUCAGGAGGAACACCGGUGGCGAAGGCGGUUCUCUGGGCAUUACCUGACGCUGAGGAGCGAAAGCAUGGGGAGCGAACAGG
rnacentral:rRNA from 1 species